CGCGGGGGGCGGGGCGUCGCGGGCACAGCGUGAGGGCCGCCGUUGCUGGAGUUCAGCUUAGGGAAGGAGGACUCUGAGGAGGCCCCGAGCGGCGGAGCGCUUCGGGGGAGGCGCCCGCGCAGACGCGAGGCCCAUAGCCAGGACCACCACCUAGCUGUUCUACAGUCUGGGGACGACGGUUUAAAAAUUUAUGCCUUGCAUGCGAUGUGCAGUGGGUGAUGGAAGAACGUCUACAUGGCUUUAAAAUUGGAUUUAAAAGGCAAAUAUUUUAAAUGAAGGAAAACCCAAGAAGUUUACUUGAUUCCUUAUCUUCCAGGAUGCGACUUUUGUUUAUUUAUUUAUUUUAUUUUGAUGGAGUCUCGCUGCCGUCGCGCAGGCUGGAGUGCAGUGACGCGAUCUUGACCCGGGAACCUCCACCUCCCGGGUUCAAGCGAUUCUCCUUCCUCAACCACCCGAGUAGCUGGGAUUACAGGCGUGUGCCACCAUGCCCGGCUAAUUUUUGUGUUUUUAGUAGAGACCGGGGAAGGUAUGGGCCCUCUUUUGAGAAAAAUGCAGAGUGACACUGAAUUUUGUAACUACAUCAGGAGGCUCUUGAACCUUCUGCAGCUCACUCGUGGAGUUUGUAGAGAUGCGUAAUAAUCCGAAGUGUUAAGGAAGAAGGUUCUGUUGAGAAAAAGUUGGAGGGCUGAAAGGGAUGCCUUUCGCUAUUUCGACAUGUGUGGCUGUACCCCAGAGUGCCCUGGCUAACACGCAAAACCAUGAAUUAGGCGGCUUGGCGAGGCUCAGUGGAGGCUGGGGCCGAGAGUCAUGUCAAAGUUUGUGGGGUUAACCUGCACCCAGUGACAGUCAUGGCGAAGUUUGUGAGGUUAACUCGCACCCAGUAACGCUGUUCCAAUGCAAGGUGUGUAUUUGGUGUCAUCCACGGGAAGAGGAAACAGCAAAUUUUCUCAUGGCCUUGGCAGUUCCACAUGAUGGACAUUUCAUAUCUGCAGUUUUCUUCGCAUGAGAUGGCUUUUUUGCACAAAAACACUGGAAUCCAGUGAGCAAGAAUGAUAGAAUGCAAGAUGGAUUUCCACAUGAGGAAGUGUCACGAACAAGCGUUUUGCAUCUCUGUCAGCUGGAUUCCCCCAUGUGUACGUAUGUGAGAACAUGCCGUGUUUCCUGUCUGUAAUGGUAGAGGCAGCCCUGAUACUGGAUUUUCACCUGAGGAUGGAUAGAUCUUCAGGGUUCAAGUGGGUUUGCAUCUGGACUUUAGGGUGGCCCUGUAGGCCCUGUGUGAGAAGCCCCCUUCCCAGUGAACUUUCCCUUGUGUGCCCGCGUGGACAGCCAACAGGGGGAGCAGUGCGAGCGUGAAGGCAGACAGUGGCCUGGCCCAGUCUGAUGGUAAGUGGGCCAGAGGCAGUGAGUACCAUUUCUUGAUCUGACUACUCAAGACAGGCGCUUCCCUAGGUACUUUCACACCUCAUUGCGAGGUACGUGUUGUUCCCAUUUUACAGGUGCAGAAGCUGAGCUGCAGAGGCGUUAGGUACCUGCCUCAUAAGUGGUAGAGACUCCAGUGUCACCCUGCCCCUCACGUUCGGAGCCCCCGAGGGAGGGUCUGCCGGGCAGCUCAGCCCAGCACUCUGUAAGGAAAUCUUCAGUGCCACUGCCCAGGAUGUCUUCCCGGGGAUUGGGCCUGAAUGUCUUGACCAUGCCGUGCUGGAGGUAGGAGGGGUGUCUUCAUAUGGAAGAACUGUACAUAUUUCUUUGGCAGAUGGCUGAACUCUGUGACCCCGGGGCCUGUUUCAGCCUCCUGCUGUCAGAAAGCAGCUGUUUGGGAAGAGGCUGUGAUUCGGCCUUGUUUGAGGGCCGAUACUCUGAAUGGGUGAGGCUUGGAAUCCUCCCUUUGGAACAAAGAAACAUAAUGAUUUUGCUGAAGGUAGAAUUGGGGGACUAGGCAGAGUGGCCUCCUGCCCUCCCUGGGGUGGUUCUGUCUUUUGCAAAGGUGGCUGCAUCCUUAGGGGAAGGUGAGGGGAGAAGCAGGGAGCAUGGAGAGAAGUGGCUUUCGAUUUUCUCUCUCCUUUUGGGGAGUUCCUCCUUAUGUGGCUGGUCUGGUGCAUAGUGUGAUGUAUUCCUGUACGCAACGUUGCCCUGACAGCCAGUCCAAGCUGAGUCUAGAGCUGGCAAGGUGAGCUCCCAGUAGUAAGAGGGUGUGGGCGGCAAGCCACCCAGGCACCGAGGCAAGAGACAGAGGACACGAGCUGUUCCAGUAUAAUAAAAUAUAAAACAAGAAUAGUUAUACCAGAUAUAGAUCUUAGAUAUGAUUAUAUAUGAAUAUCAUUAAUCAUGAGUUUGCAGCAAUUACUUUUUAUUCCAAUAUUAUGAUAAUCCUCGCUCUAUAAUCAUAGCCUAGGAAAAACCAGGCCAUACAGAGGAGCUGAGGGGACAUAGUGAGGUGUGACCAGAAGACAAGAGUGCGAGGCUUCUGUUAUGCCCGGACAGGGCCACAAGAGGGCUCCUUGGUCUAGCGGUGACGCCAGCGUCUGGGAAGACGCCCGUUACCCGGCGGAUCGUGGCCCAGUGGUAGCAAAAGGUGUCAAGGAACAACACUCACUACUUAGCAGACCGGGAAAGGGGCGGGGGGGGGGUCUCCCUUUCCCCGGGGGAGUUUAGAAAAGACUCUGCUCCUCCACCUCUUGUGGAGGGCCUGACAUCAGUCAGGCUUGCCCGUAGUUAUCCGGAGGCCUAACUGUCUCCCUGUGAUGCUGUGCUUCAGUGGUCACACUCCUUGUCUGCCUUCAUGUUCCAUCCUGUACACCUGGCUCUGCCUUCUAGAUAGCAGUAGUAAAUUAGUGAAAAUACUAAUAGUCCCUGAUAUGCAGAAAUAAUGGUAUAAGCUGUCUUUCUCUCUGUCUCCUCUCCCUCUCUGCCUCGGCUGCCAGGCAGGGAAGGGCCCCCUGUCCAGUGGACACGUGACCCACGUGACCUUACCUAUCAUUGGAGGUGACUCACAUUCUUUACCCUGCCCCUUCUGUCUUGUAUCCGAUAAAUAACAGCGCAGUCAGACAUUCGGGGCCACUACCGGUCUCCGCGCAUUGGUGGUAGUGGUCCCCCGGGCCCAGCUGCCUUUUCUCUUAUCUCUCUGUCUUGUGUCUUUAUUUCUACACUCUCUCAUCGCCACACACAGGGAGAGACCCACCGACCCUGUGGGGCUGGUCCCUACAUCUGGCGCUCUGACGUGGGGCUCUCCCUCGCUGUGUGAAGUUGCACCCUGAGUGCGGGAUCAGCGGAGGAGUUCAACGAGAGAUUCCUGAGGAUUGCAGUCUAUAAACUUGGUGGAAAAGAACUACAGCCUGUGUGGGUCCCCUCCCGACAAUUAAAAUUGCACCAUAACUCCAAAGAUGAAACGCUCCCAGAAAGAAAAGGCAAAGACCCAUCGGAAACAAAAGAGCAACUUUCACCGCCUGAUACAUACACUUCAUGACAUCCACAUUGAGACAAAAUCUCGCCGUGUGACCUACAACACCUCUCGUUCAACCCCACCUACUUGGGGUCGAAUACAGAUUUUAUCUCAUCAAACAGAAAAAUUCUUAACAGAAAAAGGAAUCCCAAAAAUGACUGGUAAUAUAAUUCUGGCUGCCUUUAUGGUAGUCAGUGCAGCGGUAAGUAUACCACCGGUCGGGGCAACUCAAAAUUAUACUUAUUGGGCAUAUGUUCCUUUUCCCCUUCUAAUUCGGUCUGUCUCCUGGAGGGACUCUCCAGUAGAAGUUUACACUAAUAAUAGUGCAUUCAUGCCGAUCCCUAAUGAUGAUCGGUUUCCAGCUCAACCGGAAGAAGAAGGUAUGCACUUUAAUCUGUCAAUUGGCUAUAAAUAUCCACCAUUAUGUAUUGGGAAGUCGCCUGGUUGUUUAGCUUAUUCUUAACAGAAUUGGAUGUGGACUGUACCGUCCUUUACAAAUGAUUCUUAUCAAGUAUAUAAUGUGUUCAGUACUAACUCUUUUCAACUUCUCACUGUCAAACGUACCCCACAUGAGGCAUGGAGAGUUCCUCUCACUACCAAAACUAAUAAAACAAAAGGACUGCCGGACUGUCCAAAGAAACCUACAAAUGGGCCUUUUAUAGUGACUUCAAUUUUAUGGGAUAAUUGUAAUGCUCCCAAGGCUGUUGUACUCCAAACUCUAGCCAUGGGUAUUGUUAUUGAUUGGGCUCCAAAAGGACAUUAUUGGCAAGAUUGCUCCAGCAAAAAUACCUUAUGCUCGGAGUUUAUUUAUUCCUUAGAUUAUAUAGAGCAUGGGUGGCAGUCUUACACGAUGAGACAACGGGUGUCUCCUUACCCAUUUAAAUGGAUGGACACAGGUAUUGCUCCUCCUAGACCAAAAAUUAUUCAUCCCUUUUUUACCCCAGAACAUCCUGAACUAUGGAAAUUAGCUGCAGCUUUGUCGGGAAUAAAGAUAUGGAACACUACCUAUCAGCUCCUUCGUACUAAAACCAAAACACCCACAUUCAACAUCACCCUUAUUUCUGAAUGGGUGAUACCCAUUAGGAGCUGUGUCAAACCCCCUUACAUGCUGUUGGUUGGAAAUAUAAUUAUGAUGCCUGAUGCACAAACUAUAGAAUGUCAUAACUGUAAGCUGUUCACUUGCAUUGAUGCAACUUUUAAUCCCACUACAAGUAUUCUCUUGGUAAGGGCUAGGGAGGGGGUAUGGAUACCAGUUUCUCUACAUCGUCCAUGGGAGUCUUCCCCCUCUAUUCACAUAGUCAAUGAAGUUCUUAAAGACAUCCUCAAAAGAACAAAGAGAUUUAUUUUUACUCUUAUUGCAGUCCUUGCAGGACUACUUGCGGUUACUGCAACAGCAGCAACUGCUGGAGUUGCCAUCCGCAGUUCUGUUCAAACUGCUCACUAUGUUGAAGCAUGCCAGAAAAAUUCCUCCAGACUUUGGAAUUCUCAGGCGCAAAUUGAUCAAAAAUUAGCUAAUCAGAUUAAUGAUCUCCGCCAAAGUGUAACCUGGCUGGGAGAUAGAGUUAUGAACUUGCAACACCGUAUGCAAUUACAGUGUGAUUGGAAUACUUCUGAUUAUUGCAUAACGCCUUAUGCUUAUAAUCAAGAUCAACAUAGCUGGGAAAAUGUCUCAAGACAUUUAAAAGCCUGGGAUGAUAACUUAACCUUGGAUAUUUCACAACUUAAAGAGCAAAUCUUUGAGGCUUCACAAGCCCAUUUAUCCACAGUUCCUGGCUCACACAUUUUUGAAGGCAUAACUAAACAAUUACCUGAUUUUAAUCCCUUCAAAUGGCUCAAACCCGUCAGAGGAUCAUUGUUGUUACUGGCAUUAUUAAUAUUGGUAUGCUUAUGUUGUCUCCUUUUAGUCUGCAGAUGCCUCUAAGGAGUCCGAAACCAAGUCCGAAGUCAACAACAAGCAAUGAUGGCGAUGGCGAUUCUAGUUAAUAAAAAGGGGGGAGAUGUGGGCGGCAAGCCACCCAGGCACCGAGGCAAGAGACAGAGGACACGAGCUGUUCCAGUAUAAUAAAAUAUAAAACAAGAAUAGUUAUACCAGAUAUAGAUCUUAGAUAUGAUUAUAUACGAAUAUCAUUAAUCAUGAGUUUGUAGCAAUUACUUUUUAUUCCAAUAUUAUGAUAAUCCUCGCUCUAUAAUCAUAGCCUAGGAAAAACCAGGCCAUACAGAGAUAGGAGCUGAGGGGACAUAGUGAAGUGUGACCAGAAGACAAGAGUGCGAGCCUUCUGUUAUGCCCGGACAGGGCCACCAGAGGGCUCCUUGGUCUAGCGGUGACGCCAGCGUCUGGGAAGACACCCGUUACCAGGCGGAUCGUGGCCCAGCCGUAGCAAAAGGUGUCAAGGAACACCUUUUGCAAAAGGUGUCAACACCCGCUACUUAGCAGACUGGGAAAGGGGGGCGGUCUCCCUUUCCCCGGGGGAGUUUAGAGAAGACUCUGUUCCUCCACCUCUUGUGGAGGGCCUGACAUCAGUCAGGCUUGCCCGUAGUUAUCCGGAGGCCUAACUGUCUCCCUGUGAUGCUGUGCUUCAGUGGUCACGCUCCUAGUCUGCCUUCAUUUUCCAUCCUGUACACCUGGCUCUGCCUUCUAGAUAGCAGUAGUAAAUUAGUGAAAAUACUAAUAGUCCCUGAUAUGCAGAAAUAAUGGCAUAAGCUGUCUUUCUCUCUGUCUCCUCUCCCUCUCUGCCUCGGCUGCCAGGCAGGGAAGGGCCCCCUGUCCAGUGGACACAUGACCCAUGUGACCUUACCUAUCAUUGGAGGUGACUCACAUUCUUUACCCUGCCCCUUCUGCCUUGUAUCCAAUAACAGCGCAGUCAGACAUUCAGGGCCACUACCGGUCUCCGCACAUUGGUGGUAGUGGUCCCCCGGGCCCAGCUGCCUUUUCUCUUAUCUCGUUGUCUUGUGUCUUUAUUUCUACACUCUCUCAUCGCCACACACAGGGAGAGACCCACCGACCCUGUGGGGCUGGUCCCUACAAGAGGGAAGUGGUUUGUUCUGCUCUUCUGAGAUGUGUUCUUAUGAGAAGGAUCCAGCAGCAGCCUGCAGAGAUGUGGGGCCUGAAAAGAGGCCUUGGGCAGCUCUUCUCAACAGGUCUUGGCCCUCUAGACUGCCUUCAGCACAGUUUUGGGGAGAAACAGGGAGUGUUCCUUUUUCAAUCUAUGCGCUCAUCCCCUGAGCCGCCUGACCCAGGGUUUAGAUGCUCCAGGGCAGCUGAUUGACACCGGUGGGAGAUGGAGUCUGGCAAGCAGGUGAUGAACUGGGAAGCGCUGCAGAAAUGAGGGGGCAAGCGUGGCCAGUCCCUUCUGAGAGGAUGUGUUUGGAAGAGAGUGGGCACUGGCGUGGCACUUUCCCCUUCUGUGGAAAUGGACUUGGACAGGAUGCCACGUAGUGCUGCAGUUCUGUGUGGGGCAGGUUGUGGCUGCAGAGAAGCACUGGGUGCAGAAACAGUCCCCCAAGCAGGUGCGAGGGUCAGGGUGCUCUAUGCUGCUCCACACCUGCCGUGCGAUGACAUGUGGUCACCGGGCUGCCCAGCACAGUUGUUUAGAAAGCAGGUUCAAAGGGCAGUGUGCUGGGAGGAAGUGCUGCUGUGGAAACUGCAAGUUUUGGACAUGAGUUGCUCAGGUCUUUUCAGCCGUUCAUUCUUCUACAACAGAAUUGCAUUAUUCACUUGCUCAGUGUGAUACCAUGUCCUUUAAAAAAUUAUUUGAAUAUUGAGAACAGGUUGUAUGUUCCGUCUCUAGCUGCUAGAUCACAGGCAGGGCACAUCUUCUCAAAGAGUAACAAGGCAUGGGUUGUGUGUGUUCUCUUCUCUUAGUGAGGAGAAAGGCCUGUUUGGGUUCAUGAUGAUUGUUGGGGUCUCUUUUCUGUACCUGAUGUUGGUUGCACAAAGUCCGUUUCCAUUCUCUUAGUCUAGACAAUUUUCCUGAUAUUUAAACUGGAAUUUUUGCUCCAAGAAAUUCCAGGUCAUUUAGAAUGUGUUAAGAUUGAGUUUCUGGGCUACACAUCCUUAUAAGAGCACCCGAUUCUGGUUUCUGUUUAUUUAUUUAUUUUUUCGAGACAGUCUCGUUCUGUCACGCAGGCUGGAGUACAGUGGCAUGAUUUUGGCUCACUGCAACCUCUGCCUCAUGGGUUCAAGUGAUUCUCGUGCUUCAGGCUCCCAAGUAGCUGGGAUUACAGGUGCGCACCACCUACAUUAUUUAUUUAUUUAAUUUAUUUAUUGAGAUGAGGUCUCACUAUGUUGCCCAGGCUACUCAAACUUCUGGUCUCAAGGGAUCCUCCCGCCUCGGCCUCCCAAAGUGCUGGGAUUACAGGCAUGAGCCACCGCACACAGCCUGAUUUCUGUUUAAAGAGUUGGAUUAUACAGGGACCCACAGAAUUGGGAACUGACAGUACUGUAGAGCCUGUGUAUGAAAAAGAUGGACAAGCCUGACAUUAGCAGCUCACUGUUGAGCACACGGCCCCCUGCAGAAUAAACAAGUGUGUGGUUUCCAUCUGAUGAAGGUGGGCAUGUAGUUCCUGGACAGUCCAGUGACUUCCAUCAUUCCACAGACAAGAUCAGAUGCCCUCUCUACCAGCCACCGUGCUGGGACCGGCCCAAUCUGUGUUUCAAAUCAGCUUGUAGCACGCAGGGAUUCAAAAUAUUUAAAGAUGAGGUUUGAAGGUACGUCUGGAGACCAAGGACGUUAGUUCUGGAGGUCCCCGUCUCCUGCGUGUUUGCGGAGCUGGUGACAGUGCCCUCUCCCCGUGCUGGAGAGGGCUGAGGAGAGGCUGUGUGUCUCAGCAGGAUGCCAGUCAGGAUUCUUCUGGCUAUGGGCUUAUUUUUUGCAAUAAAUUCAUCGUUAAAGUCCCA
rnacentral:lncRNA from 1 species